rnacentral:lncRNA from 1 species
GGGCUGCACCUGUGGCAUAUGGAAGUUCCCUGGCUGGGGGUGGAAUCAGAGCUGUAGCUGCCAGCCUACACCACAGUCACAGCAAUGCCAGAUCCAGUUGUACUGUGACAUAUGCUGCAGCUUGUGGCAAUGCCCGGAUCCUUAACCCACUGAGUGAGGCCAGGGAUCGAAUCUGCAUCCUCACAGAUACUUGUCAGAUUCUCAACCCAAUGAGCCACGAGGGGAACUCUCCAAACUCUUUCUUUCACCAGUUAAGACAAAAUAGGAAAAGGCAUUCUCUGCUGGGCUAUUUUUAUUGAUUUUUCAUCUUCCCUAAACCUAAUACAUGUUACUGCUUUGAUAAAAGAGGAGCUAGUAUUAUUCUUGGGUUUGCGUAGACGUGUUUGUGCUUUAUUUAUUCUAACUGCUGCUCUGGGUAGAUUUCCACGUGCUACCUGAAUAUAAACAAGUGUGCGUAUAUCAGAUACAAACUACUACCCAUGGUGGGAAAGACUGCUAGACAUUUAUCCGAAAUCUCUUUCCUUUUCUCUCUGGAUACACAACUGGAAGCGCUUUGGAGGGAAGCCACUGGCUGACCAGGGACAUCCACCUUGGGCUCCAACUUGAGCAAGAAAUUAAUUCCUGUUGUGUUGAAACUGUAACACAUUUUUGGUUCUACUUGUGCAGCAGUUUAUCUUAACUUACAAAUACCUCACAAUCAAAUUAUAUAUGAAGACACACACACACAGAAACACACACACAACUUAGACCCACCACAUGGUAUGUGAUUCCCAAGUCUAACCAUCAAUACACCACAAUGGUAACUUCUGUGCCUCCAAAAGUAUGAGAACAGUUUGAAAGGAAGAUUAUGAUGGUGCAAAAGCAAUGUUUCCUUUGAUAGAAUUUAAGCAUGAUUAACAAACCAAACACAUUUUUAGAAGUUACAUAUGAAUCAACUCGGCUUUCCUAAUUUUGAAAGCUAGCUGGAACACAGAUGAUUCCCGUUUGGGCCAGAAUCAUUUUAAUCUGCUUAGACUAAGUCAGUUUUGACAAAUGGAAAUAAUAUCAAAUAGUCCUAAAUAAUUCCAAAAUACAAUUCUAUGAGUGAGCAUGAACAUAAAUGCCAGAUGUUAAUGAGGAAAAACAUAAAUUCUCUUCAUUUAAAAAAAAAAUCUCAUUCGCAUCCAUUUGAUUAUAAAGCUCUUUGGGGGAGAUACUCAUUCCAUCUCCACAAACCACGUAAGCAGUCAGGCUUAAAUCUUGUAGGCUUAAAUCCUGGCAGCAAAAUUAUCAGAAAGGACACUCGCCUCUUCCGAUCAGAGAUCUAAGGCUUUGAAGUCAUGCUCAGCUCCAAGAAGGCAGAGGAGAAUGGAGGAGGAUACUGGCCUGCUGGAAGUAACGGGACAUUUGGAAAGACCCACCAUCUGUCAUUCCUGGGAAUAAAGCUGGGAAGGGUGAGCAGAACUUUUGCCAAUGUUAGUUUUCUAGAACAUGCCAUGGGCAUGGUUAGUGAGAAAGAGAGGGAAAAAACAACUGGUGAGCAUUUCUGGCUGCAAGACAAGAUUCAAAUAAGCUGUUUAGCCUUUGGUUGCAGCAUUCUCAAACAUCAUAAAGAUUUCAGCUCUUGUAAAAGAGGAGCCAGUUGUUUACAAUAGACUCUUCUGGAGGGAGUGGGUGUGUCUCACCAGGCAAAUAUUUGCCCAUAGGAGGUAAUAAAAUAGUAUUAAGCUCUUACCCCACUGCUGUACGUGGUCAUCAAUGUGCUUAGCUCACUCAAGUCUAUUUUAAGAUCCUGACAGGCACAAACAUUAACAAGAACCUGGCAUUUCUCCUUAAGAAUGUAUAAUCGACCUUUCAAGUCCGUAAUCUCGUUUAUCAAAGCGGAUGGCAGGGAUUUAUGCAGAAUAGUUUGCACACCUCUUUGAUUUCGGCCCCCUGAGAACCCAAACAUGCAUCCCACCCAAUCCUGUUUUAUUUUCGCCAUAUCCUGUGUUGUUGAAUGGGCCUCUUAUAAAAAUGCAAUGUAAUGCCCCCCCUUCCAGUUUUUUUUUCUGAAGUUCUAAACAAAUCUUACAUCAGUUUCGUAAAAUGUGCAGUUCUCUUACAUUCCUUGGGCAGACUUUAAAGGUCAAGGCUCUAAAGAGUUUGAGAAAUCUGUUUGCAUGGACCAGGACCCACAUGGGUGAAAGCAAGAAAGCAACGCGACGGACAGUUAAGCAAGCAGUGAGGGCAAACACGUGCUCCAGAAAAUGCAGGAUAGAGGUGGGUGGGAGGAUGCAGACCUGCGGUUUUCUUAAUCAUUCACCCUUGACUUAUGAACCAAAAGGACACUGUAAGAGCUGGAAAGUGAAACAGGAUCAGGGCCUGACUGCCCCCAUCAGAGCUAGAUCCAGCCAUUAAAACUCCCCUCAGCAUUUUCUAGUCUCUGCUUUGAGCAUCGAGCUCAACCCCUUCUCAUCUCAUAGGACCUCCAAGCACCAUCAAGUGAAAUAAAUUUUUUCAUAAACAGUCAUAAAAGCAUUUCUCAUAAACAUCCAUUCUUUAACUCUAAAUUACCUUUCAAGUUGGUUCAGGUGCUAACAAGAAUCCAAACCUUUGUAUGGGGCUGAAUGGUGUGCACAAAUCCAAAGAAAGACACCAAAGGAGCACUCAGCUCUGUUGCUAUAAAACUAAUAAAGAGCGAAAUAAACACAAUACAUUCCAGAGAAAGCCGGCGCUCAGAGGUUAGAUGCAUGACUCAAAGCAGCAGGCUCCCCAUAUCAAGAGUAGUCGGAAGACUGGGGUGUGAGGCUAGGAAGGGGAUUACAUGUCAUAAGAAAAAGGAAAUUAUGUUGAUAAUGAUUCCUGGAGUCAAUGCCAGCAACUUCAGCCAACUUGCCUGCAGCCUCAUCAAAAUGUGCCAAAUGUAGGUCCAAUGCUGUCAGGAUUAAGAACAUUCUUCACGCAGAU